UAAUUUUUCUUUUUUUUUUUUUUUUUUUUUUUUUCCACUAUGGUUCCAUUUAUUUGUAUAUGACAGCAGUACGAUCUGCUUCAUUUCUUCUUAUAACAAGAAAAAAAAAAAGACGAAAAACAUUAAUACUUCCUCUUUGUCGUCAUACUGUCUAGAAAAUCGCUUGUAUAAUUACAACUCGACACGCUUUCGAUAUAUGACAAAAAAAAAAAGGAUAAAAGAAAAAGAAACGAAGAACAAAAAACGAAAGAGAGAAAAAAAAUGAAACACACGCUGCUGCUUUCUUUCGCCGUUUCACAAGACACACGCGUGUUGAACCAAGCGAUCGUCGCUCGUUCACAUAGAUAUUUUUGUUUUAAUCUCUGCCCUUAAGUUACGCUGGCCGCAGCCUUAAUCUUAAGCAACGAUUUUUCAAUAUCUUUUACACACUAGAGGUCAUCCCUCUUUCUCUCUCUCUCUCACACACACACACACAUACACACACACACACACUCACUCACUUUCAUAUUCAUUCUAUUCAUUCUGCCGUCUAGUGCUCGAUCGAAUUCUUACGUAAUAUGUAUAUCUGUAUAAUAUAAUAAUAUAUUCUCUUUGUAAAGUACAUAAUAAACCCUAAGCUGAAUUUUGAUCGGUACAAUAAGUCUGAGAUGAUUUGUUCAACGAAUCGAGCACCAUGAUCGCGAUUCAAACGAGAAAGGACAUCUAGAACCGUGAAUUUCAUUAAAUGAAAUGACCGUCGAAACGAUGUGAAAUGAUCGUCAUACGUCAUUCAAUGCGCCGAUUGUACGUGUUAUAUAAAACAUUUUGAAAUUUCAUCAGCAUUGUAGCGUGACAUCACUUGUCAUGAUUAUAUUGAUAAAGCUGGAAAUCUACCUAUAUGAAAAUGUACACGGCAUUAUUAUUUUUUGUCAGAUAUCAAACUAUGCCAAUAUAUAUUGAUCGAUUUUCAUUACCGUGCUAACUAAUGAAAUUUCAGAACGUUUUGUACAAUACAAAUAAUACAUUCACCAAAGGCUC
rnacentral:misc_RNA from 1 species